rnacentral:rRNA from 1 species
GAUGAACGCUGGCGGCGUGCCUAAUACAUGCAAGUCGAGCGAACAGACGAGGAGCUUGCUCCUCUGACGUUAGCGGCGGACGGGUGAGUAACACGUGGAUAACCUACCUAUAAGACUGGGAUAACUUCGGGAAACCGGAGCUAAUACCGGAUAAUAUAUUGAACCGCAUGGUUCAAUAGUGAAAGACGGUUUUGCUGUCACUUAUAGAUGGAUCCGCGCCGCAUUAGCUAGUUGGUAAGGUAACGGCUUACCAAGGCAACGAUGCGUAGCCGGCCUGAGAGGGUGAUCGGCCACACUGGAACUGAGACACGGUCCAGACUCCUACGGGAGGCAGCAGUAGGGAAUCUUCCGCUAUGGGCGAAAGCCUGACGGAGCAACGCCGCGUGAGUGAUGAAGGUCUUCGGAUCGUAAAACUCUGUUAUUAGGGAAGAACAAAUGUGUAAGUAACUAUGCACGUCUUGACGGUACCUAAUCAGAAAGCCACGGCUAACUACGUG